AGAGCGAACGCUGGCGGCAGGCCUAACACAUGCAAGUCGAGCGCCCGUAGCAAUACGGGAGCGGCAGACGGGAUAGUAACACGUGGGAACGCGCCCUUCGGUUCGGAAUAACUCAGGGAAACUUGAGCUAAUACCGAAUACGCCCUUACGGGGAAAGAUUUAUUGCCGAAGGAACGGCCCGCGUCCGAUUAGCUAGUUGGUGAGGUAAUGGCUCACCAAGGCGACGAUCGGUAGCUGGUCUGAGAGGAUGACCAGCAUCACUGGGACUGAGACACGGCCCAGACUCCUACGGGAGGCAGCAGUGGGGAAUAUUGGACAAUGGGCGCAAGCCUGAUCCAGCCAUGCCGCGUGGAUGAUGAAGGCCCUAGGGUUGUAAAGUCCUUUUAACGGGGAAGAUAAUGACGGUACCCGUAGAAUAAGCCCCGGCUAACUUCGUGCCAGCAGCCGC
rnacentral:rRNA from 1 species